ensembl:lncRNA
CCCAGCUUCACCUGCUGGUUCAGGGAUUUGCUUGAGGGACUCAGAACUCAGGAUAGCUAUUUGAUUUGUGAUCAUGGUUGUUUACUGCAAAAGGAUAGAGAUUAAAAUCAGCUAAGGCAAAGGCAUGCAGGGCAGAGUCCGGGAGAGAGCGGACGCGGCCUUCCAGUGGUCCCUCCCGGCUGAGCUGUGUGGACAGCAUUUGUUCUCCCUGUGUGGCGGCAGGCACACAGAACCUACGCCCAGGCGAGCUCAGCACAGCCUUGGUGCCCAGGGCCGCAGUGCACGCGUCCCAGAGCCGUGGGAGGUUGGUGUGGCUCAUCUCAGUUCCUCCGUCUCCAGCCCGUCCAGAAACAGUGGCCCAGCAUAGCCCACGGCCACACAGAAAUCACACUGUUAGUGGAGACUGCCUGGCGCGGCCCAGCCCAGGUGAACAGAAGUUCUCUUUUCAGGCUGGGUGUCCUGAGAGCUUAGAGGUGAUCUCCCAGGAGCCGUCAGGGGUCAGUGCUUUCUCGGGAACGUGCAAGGUUUGAAAUCCUGCUGACUUCAUUCUUCCUGCACACUAAAUUUUGCCAGGUUUCCGCUCAUACCUUUUUCCUGGUUCAGGAUCCAUCCCAGGAUCCCACACCGCAUUUGUUUGUCCUGUCUCCUCCAGUCGGUACAGUUCCUCGGUCUUGGUCUUUGUCUUUUAUGACCUUGAGACUUUGGAGAGUACUGCCUGUGAGACUGGCACUACUGGAGCCCUCACUUAACUGAUGAGAAACUCGGAGAUGGUCCAACUCAAUGAACGUGAAUUUGAGCAAGCUCCGGGAAAUGGUGAAGGACAGGGAAGCCUGGUGUGGUACAGUCCAUGGGGCCACAGAGAGACAGGCACGACUGAACAACAGCAGCAAUCAGGUCUUUCAACUUACCUGAGCCUUGGUUUCUUCAUCUGCACCACAGGGAGGAUGACACCAAAUUGUUAUGGGUGGUGACCUCGCUGGCUGUCCUUAAAUGCAGUCACAGUGUGGAUAACGUGUCACAUUUAUGGAUAAUCAUAAAUGACAGCUAGUCACAGCUUUUGUGAACAUGUACUGUGUGCAGAGCCCUGGUUGGGACUGCUGAGGGGGAGCAGUCAGAUGGGUCCCUGCUCUCCUGAGGCCUGGAAUCUGUAUAAUGUCAAGUGUGGUGAGCUUGGCCUAUAAACCAGGCGGGAAGCGUCCCUUCACCUCCUGAGCUCUCCCGUCUCUCUCCCAAGGUUGUUUUGUUUUUAAUAUUUCUUUGGUUGCUUUGGGUCUUAAUUGUGGAGUUCCCUUACAAGGGAUUGAACCUGGGCACUCUGCAUUGGGAGUGUGGAGUCUUAGCCACUGAAGCACCAGGUAAGUCCCCCAGGUUUUGUGUUUAGUGCUGUGUGUGGGUGUGUGUGUGGGCACAUGCGCGUGCUAAGUUGUAUCAGCUCUUUGCAACUCUAGCUGCCGGGCUCCUCUGUCCAUGGAAUUUUCCAGGUAAGAAUACUGGAGUUGCCAUUUCCUCCUCCAGAUCUUCCCGACCCAGGGAUCGAGUCCUUGUCUCUUGUGUCUCUUGCAUUGCAGGCAGAUUCUUUACCACCAGCGUCACAGCCGGUCUGCCAUCGAAGAGCGUGUCUCAGCACCAGACCGGGACUUGUGGUCUGGUGGGUGUGAGUGUGGCCUCAGUGCCAACAGGGCUCGCUGCUCUUGGCUCCCCGUUUAGGGCACGGAUGGCCGUUUGAGAUUCAGCUGUAAAGCAGACAGACACAAAUCUGUGCCCUCGUGGAGCCAGCAUUAUCGUUGGGAGAGACACACAGGGGAAGUGAAAUACAUGGUAGAUGGGGAUGAGUGGCGAGGAGGGAAAGAAGGGACAGGAAGAGUGUCAGAGAUGUUGAGAUUCUGAAAGGGUGACCAAGGGGACCUGGUUUAGCAAGAGCAUGACAAGACCUGAACGCCAGGGAGUGUGCUGUGUGGCUCUGGGAGGGAAGGCCGGUCCUGGCCCUGGCCGGGGAAGAGCAGGUGAAAAGGCAGGGCCUGCAGGGCUGGGG